GGGGCCUUGGCGCAACGGUAGCGCGUCUGACUCCAGAUCAGAAGGUUACGUGUUCGAAUCACGUAGGCCUCA
rfam:Spizellomyces punctatus DAOM BR117 chromosome Tnknown supercont1.10, whole genome shotgun sequence.